rnacentral:tRNA from 1 species
GCCAGUGUGCUCAGUGGUUAGAGCGGCGACCUGCACACCAAGAGGUCGUGGGUUCAAUUCCCAUCAAGGGCA